GACGAACGCUGGCGGCGUGCUUAACACAUGCAAGUGGAGCGACGAACCAGGGCUUGCCCUGGGGCAAAGCCGCGAACGGGUGAGUAACACGUGGAUAACCUGCCCCGAUGACCGGGACAACCCGAGGAAACUCGGGCUAAUACCGGAUGUGCCCGCGCCCCUUAAGGGGCACGUGCAAAGGAAGCUUCGGCCUCCGCAUCGGGAUGGGCCCGCGGCCCAUUAGCUUGUUGGUGAGGUAAUGGCUCACCAAGGCCGCGAUGGGUAGCUGGUCUGAGAGGACGAUCAGCCACACUGGGACUGAGACACGGUCCAGACUCCUACGGGAGGCAGCAGUGGGGAAUAUUGGACAAUGGGCGAAAGCCUGAUCCAGCCACGCCGCGUGAGUGAUGAAGGCCUUCGGGUCGUAAAGCUCUGUGGGGAGGGACGAACGUCCCCGUGAAGAACGGGGGGUGACGGUACCUCCUUAGCAAGCACCGGCUAACUUCGUGCCAGCCGCCGCUGUAAAAC
rnacentral:rRNA from 1 species